UACGGGGGGAGCAAGCGUUGUUCGGAUUUACUGGGCGUAAAGGGCGCGUAGGCGGUCGUGACAAGUCACUUGUGAAAUCUCCGGGCUUAACUCGGAACGGUCAAGUGAUACUGUCGGACUAGAGUACAGAAGGGGCAACUGGAAUUCUCGGUGUAGCGGUGAAAUGCGUAGAUAUCAGGAGGAACACCAGCGGCGAAGGCGGCGCUCUGGGCCGGUACUGACACUGAGGAGCGAAAGCGUGGGUAGCAAACAGG
rnacentral:rRNA from 1 species